ACCGGCUAGUCCAACCCUAGCCGCCAGACAUCCCGCCACCGCAUCCUCACCGGUCAACUUCGUCCGGCAACCUCGACCCCACCCCAAAGAAGGUCUCGUCCUCGAGCAGCCCUUCUUCGUGACGCUCGCGACUCCUUCAAGCUCGCCCCAUUCCGCCCCCACCUGACAGCAGCCGGCACCCCCGUCGUCGGCGACGCUGCUCCUCUGCCCCGCCGUCGCCGCUCGAGAAGCUCAAGAGUUGUUGAAAAUGGUUGCCGAAUGGACUAUUGAGAACACUCGGAUUAUCACCGAGUUGUUUGUCCAGCAAGUGAGAGCUGGAAAUAGGCCAAAUACUCACUUGACCUCCAAUGCAUCUGAUGAGGUGGUGAGGCAAUUCAAAAUAAGAACAGGGUUGGAGUACACAAAUGAUCAAUUGAAGAACAAAUGGGACAAACUAAGAGGUGAAUAUGGUGUAUUCAAGAAACUUAAGUUGAAGGAGACAGGAGCGGGAUGGGACACAGAGCGCAACACUGUGAAACAAGAUGCUGAGUGGUGGAAGAAGGCAAAGAUAGACAUUCCAGGUUGUUACAAGUUCAGGAAGCAUGGACUUCGCAAUGAAGAGAACUUGCGCAUCAUGUUUGAAGAC